AGGAGGGAUAGAUAGUAAUGACUGGUUUCCUGAUUGCUCUGGACUCAUGCUAUAGGUAGGUCCCUGGCUGCCUGUGUGUGCUGUAAUCAAGGAGGCGUUUCCACCGCUUCUAUGGCUGCGGAUUUAAACCCUUUAAAUUUCUAGGGUCAGGGAUCAGAGGUUCCAGUCAGGUACUGUGGAAUACGGAGAGCUAGAACACCAAGAUGUGGGACCCUAACAUAUGUCUAGAAUUUGAAUAGUUCCCAAAGAAAAAGAGCCCAAUGCCAUCCUCUGAGGCUGAACCAAAAUGGGAGGGAGGUGUGUGGAGCUGUACUUUGGAUCUUGCUAUGGACUGCCGUAGGUUGUCUGUGGUGAGGAGCUGUAGGAUGAGAGUCUUCCUGUGGUAUGGGUCUAUAGGGAGUGAGAGGCUGUGUGCUGGGCAAGUGUAUGUAUACUGAUGGGCUGUGUGUGCUGAGGGCUUGUGUGGUGAUCGGCUGUGUACUUCUGAGGGGCUAUGUGUGGUGAGGGCUUGUGUGGUGAUCGGCUGUGUAUGUCUGAGGGGCUGGGUGUGCUGAUAGUCUGUGUACCAAAGGCUUAGGAGUAAGGAUCUGUACACUAAUUUCUGCACCUGUGUCUGAGGACGCCACCUCUGCUCCUGGCCCUGGCCCUCUUGCCCAAUGGGAAGCUCAUUCUCUGAAUGGACAAGACUCCAGAAGUUGAAAGAGACUCUGAAGUCCACCAGGAUUUCUCUGUGUAAUAGUCCUGGCUGUCCUGGAACUCGAAGAGAUCUAUGUGCUCCUGCGUCCCAAGUGCUCAAAGUGAUCAAAGGCGAGCUCCACCCUGCCAGGCUCCCUGCAGAGCACUUUCAGUACCUGAGAUGACUUUGCUUAACUUUUGCUGUGCCCCCAGAGAAGACCAGAAGCUCCAAGAGGUCCCAGUCACAACCCUGGAAGCUGAAGGCAUCCUGUGUUCUGUCAGCCUCUACCCCAGUCUUCCUCUCUCGUGGCUCUCUAGUAGCUGAAGGGGAAGUAGCCACCGUGGAGCCACCUCACACCCUUGAAGAUGCCCACCCCCUGAAAUUCUGCUCCAGCAUAAGCUGGUGAAGUAGGCCGGUAGAUGUUCUGAGCUGAAGAGCUGGUGAGAACCCCCUGUUUCAUCUCAUCUGAGAAAUACUCUGAGAAAUACUUGUCCGUAAAGGAUCCCAUAGCCCACAGCACAGCUGUCUGAAACAUCAAGAUGGUGUCACAGAAACAGGGAUACCAUAUCUGACAAUCUUGCCCUGUUAAGAGCUUCCUCUAGGGUACAGAGACACUAAAAAUUGCCCUCAGAGAGAACAGUGCUUCUCUUCCUAUUGCUGGGAAGCCAGCAAAGUAUACAGCCCUUCCAGCACGACCUCAGCAUCAAGUAAUGACCUUGCUGUGCCUGCGCUUUUGGGCUAACAAGACUGAAGGCCAACCAAACCUUUUUGAAGAAAUGACAUUUCUCCUUCCUGUUUAACUAGGGCCUUUGGAAGAGCGUGUGACUUCUUACAGCAACUCCCGGGGGUUCGCUGGGCAGCCAGUCUAGCUGAAAGAGCUCAAGGUUCAUUGAGAGGCACUGUCUCAAAGAAAUAGGCAGAGAGCAAAAAAGGAAGAUGCCCAAUGUUCGAUUCUAACCCACAGGUGUCCUGCACACAUACACAUAAGUGAACCCGCAUAUACAUAUGCGCAUGCACAGGUGUGCACAGAGUGGGGGGGGGACAAAAGAGGUCCAGAGAAAGGUCCCUGUGGUGAGCCUCUCUACUCCCCAAAUGGGGUCCCGGGUUUCAGCUAGAGCCUAUUUGUUGGGAGUCACCCUGGUGUGUACUAAGGCCCCAAGACACAGAGCAAAGCCCACCAGAUUGGGUCUAGCAGUAGAAGUCUAGUGUCCUACUAUGUAGUCCAAGCCAGCUUCAAACCUGUGACCCUCCUGCCUCAGUUUCCUCAGCGCUGGGAUUUCAGGCAUGCACCUACACCUGCUUCUACCUGUUGCUUCUUCUAUUCUUGCUCAAAUCUUUACCAGGUGCCUACUAUAAGUGUCCUGACAGGAAGAUAUUCUAAAGAGAUGCUUGUGCCCUCCCUUAGACUAUCAGAUUGAAACUGGUUCUCAGAGCGUCUUCCCAGGGGACUCAUGCUGGGAGAAAGAGAAUGCUGAAGCCUGGUGCCUGCUACAGGUGUCUUCUAGGAACAGAAUUCACACAGUUCUGACAACCUCUCAGGCUACUUGCAGGAAAGACAGCAAGACUAGAGGAGGCAGGACCACACAUACCUCCUGCAUUCUUUAAAGCUCUUGUUAGAGACACGGGUGAAGGCUAGGGGUUACUGGAUCUCUCUGUUUGACCCUCACUGAAUACAUCAUCCUCUGAUUUACUAUAAGUUGUCUACUAGGUUUGUUGAGGACAGGUAGCCAAGGCUAGCUCCAGCAGAGCCAAGUCUCUGACACUGACAACUCCAGUAAUCUACUAUAUGCUACAAAGAAGCCAGAAUGUCAGAUUCCUGCCCUCUGACCUGUCACAAUGGCCACUCUGGGGUUAGAGAGAGAAGCUUUGCUCUAAUGUGCCCUCCUUCACAAGAACUGGAUAGCUAAAAGCAGGCUGCAACCUCUAAUGGAACUCUCCGGAAGCUUGAGGGACCUUGCAGGGUAUUUAAAGAGGAAAGGGUUGCCUCUUCCUUAUAGCCACUGGCUGGUCAUGAAAUCAAUUUACUUAUUCUAAAAAAGGCGACAUGGGGCUGGAGAGAUGGCU
rnacentral:sRNA from 1 species